UUGUCUAAGAAGGAAAUGAAAUGGAUGUUUCUUUCAAAGUGUGUUCCUUUCAGAUAGAUUAGAUUUCUCUGUAUUUCUUUGACUUUCCUUAUACAACUGUGAUGUUUCUUUAAGAAGCAGAGUCUUUAGAAGUAUUUAAAAGCAGUAGAUACAGGGGUUUGCUCACCACAUUCUUUCUGUAGACUGAUAGGGAGCAGCACUGCUUAUAAGAAUAGUAAGAAGUUUGGAGACCAACUCUGUUUUUGUGGCAAUAUAUAUAUGGUAACCAAGAACAACUGAAGGUGAAAGAUACUAUCAAGAUCUGCUUUUUGAAAAAACAAGUCCAUUUGAAAGUAUGACUAACCACCUCGACUGAAGAUUGAGAGACACACUUAAUAUAUUGAGUGGACUUCAAGAUCACUAGAUCCCUUUGGGGUUUGAGAAGGACUUUAAGGUGUUCACCCUACUGCGGAUACGCGAAACCACGAGUGCUGGACCCAAGAUUAACACAGUCCUCCUGUAUUCUCAUUCUACUGAUAUUACAAUAUAUAUUAUCAGCUAGGUAC